UACGGAGGGUGCUAGCGUUGUUCGGAUUUACUGGGCGUAAAGCGCACGUAGGCGGGUCGUUAAGUCAGGGGUGAAAUCCCGGAGCUCAACUCCGGAACUGCCUUUGAUACUGGCGACCUUGAGGCUGGAAGAGGUUAGUGGAAUUCCCAGUGUAGAGGUGAAAUUCGUAGAUAUUGGGAAGAACACCAGUGGCGAAGGCGGCUAACUGGUCCAGAUCUGACGCUGAGGUGCGAAAGCGUGGGGAGCAAACAGG
rnacentral:rRNA from 1 species